rnacentral:rRNA from 1 species
GACGAACGCUGGCGGCGUGCUUAACACAUGCAAGUCGAACGGAAAGGCCCUGCUUUUGUGGGGUGCUCGAGUGGCGAACGGGUGAGUAACACGUGAGUAACCUGCCCUUGACUUUGGGAUAACUUAAGGAAACUGGGGCUAAUACCGGAUAGGAGCUCCUGCUGCAUGGUGGGGGUUGGAAAGUUUCGGCGGUUGGGGAUGGACUCGCGGCUUAUCAGCUUGUUGGUGGGGUAGUGGCUUACCAAGGCUUUGACGGGUAGCCGGCCUGGGAGGGUGACCGGCCACAUUGGGACUGAGAUACGGCCCAGACUCCUACGGGAGGCAGCAGUGGGGAAUAUUGCACAAUGGGCGGAAGCCUGAUGCAGCAACGCCGCGUGCGGGAUGACGGCCUUCGGGUUGUAAACCGCUUUCGCCUGUGACGAAGCGUGAGUGACGGUAAUGGGUAAAGAAGCACCGGCUAACUACGUG